rnacentral:pre_miRNA from 1 species
CUUGUUAUUUAUAAGUAUUAAACGUAGAUUACUGACAAAACACAUUUCAUAAUCCCUAGGCUAUUUUGCGAGACGAAUCUAACGAGGUAUAUUAAUCCAUAAUUAGCGGAUGAUUACUGUAGCAAAUCAUGGAUUAAUAUAUCUCGUUAGAUUCGUCUCGCAAAAUAGCCUAGAGGUUAUGGAAUGGGUUUUGUCGGUAAUCUACGUUUAAUACUCCUAAAUAACAAG